CUCACCUGUCCAUCCACGCUCUCGGUGGCCAUGCACAGCCCGCGGUCGCUGCCCCAGGUGUACCCCAGGUGUAUCAGGUGUGUCCCAGGUGUAUCAGGUGUACCCCAGGUGUACCCCAGGUGUACCCCAGGUGUAUCAGGUGUGUCCCCAGGUGU